GGGCCCGCACAAGCAGUGGAGCAUGUGGUUUAAUUCGAUGAUACGCGAGGAACCUUACCAGGGCUUAAAUGUAGUCUGACAGGACUGGAAACAGUUUUUUCUUCGGACUACUUACAAGGUGCUGCAUGGUUGUCGUCAGCUCGUGCCGUGAGGUGUCAGGUUAAGUCCUAUAACGAGCGCAACCCCUAUCGUUAGUUGCCAUCAAGUAAAGUUGGGAACUCUAGCGAAACUGCCGGUGCAAACCGAGAGGAAGGUGGGGAUGACGUCAAAUCAUCACGGCCCUUACGUCCUGGGCUACACACGUGCUACAAUGGUAGAGACAGAGGGCAGCCACCUGGUGACAGGGAGCG
rnacentral:rRNA from 1 species